rnacentral:rRNA from 1 species
UAAAUUUUAUUUUUGUAAAUAUUAGUAUUGCAUACUAUUUUAGGAAAAUUUCAUUAUUUAUGAAUAAUAGAAAUAAAGGGUAGAAGAUAAAGUAGUUUUAUUGUUUCAUAAUAAAAAUUAUUUAUCUUAGAGUUGAAAUGUCGUCCUUUAUGAUAACUUUUUAUUAAUAGAUAUAUUAGAAAAUUAUAUAUAAAUGUUUUUGAUUAGAAAAUUUAGAAUUUGUAGUGUUUUAAUUUUUAGUUUUAUAACUAUUUUUAAUUAUCAAUUUUUAACUUUUUAUAAUUUAAUAAUUUUAUAUUAAAUAUAUAAUCUAAAUAUUAGUAAAUUAUCAAUAAAUUACGUUUUUAUUUAAAAUAUAAAUUUAAUAACUUGAAUUCUUAAUCAAAUGUUUUUUAAAGACUUAGGUUUUUUUAUAAAACUGGCUUCUGCCCUAUGAUAUUUAAAUGGCAGUCUUAGCGUGAGGACAUUAAGGUAGCAAAAUAAUUUGUGCUUUUAAUAAGUUCCAGUAUGAAUGAAGUUAUUGGUUAGUUCUUUUUAUAUUUUUAAUUUGAAUUUAAUUUCUAUUUAAGAAAAAAUAGAUAUAUUUAAACAAAGAUAAGUCUUCGGAAAUUCUAUUAUUAUAAUUUUAAUUAAGGUUAUAAUAAAUUUUCUAGGGCAGAAUAUUAUAUAAUAUUAUUUUACUAAUAUUAAUUUAAAGAAUUACUCCGGAGUUAACAGAAAAUCAUAUUUAAUCCAGUACUUAUGGUAAAAUAAGUUUUACAUCGAUGUUGUAUUUAAGUUAACUAAGAAAGGAGAAGACUUAGUUUUUUAGACUGUUCUUCUAUUAAUUAACUUAACGUGAUAUUAGUUUAAUUCAUUGUGAGAUAGAAUUGUUUAUCUUGUUAAAUAUAAAAAAUUAAAAUGUUUAGUACGAAAGGAACAAUAUAAAAGUUUUAAACUUUAAGAUCUAGUGAUCUA